UACGGGGGGGGCAAGCGUUGUUCGGAAUUACUGGGCGUAAAGGGCUCGUAGGCGGCCAACUAAGUCAGACGUGAAAUCCCUCGGCUUAACCGGGGAACUGCGUCUGAUACUGGAUGGCUUGAAUCCGGGAGAGGGAUGCGGAAUUCCAGGUGUAGCGGUGAAAUGCGCAGAUAUCGGGAGGAAUACCAGUGGCGAAGGCGGCUGCCUGGCCUGUUCUUGACGCUGAGGCGCGAAAGCUGGGGGAGCAAACGGGG
rnacentral:rRNA from 1 species